rnacentral:rRNA from 1 species
AAUUCCUACGGGGCGCAGCAGUGGGGGAUAUUGCACAAUGGGGGAAACCCUGAUGCAGCGACGCCGCGUGGGCGAAGAAGUAUUUCGGUAUGUAAAGCCCUAUCAGCAGGGAAGAAGAAAUGACGGUACCUGAGUAAGAAGCACCGGCUAAAUACGUGCCAGCAGCCGCGGUAAUACGUAUGGUGCAAGCGUUAUCCGGAUUUACUGGGUGUAAAGGGAGCGCAGGCGGCGCGUUAAGCCUGGUGUGAAAGUCCGCGGCCCAACCGCGGGACUGCAUUGGGAACUGGCGCGCUGGAGUGCCGGAG